rnacentral:misc_RNA from 1 species
AAGCACCAAUAAAAUCCACUGCUUCCCUUCCCUCCUCUUCUCUCUCGAUCGCCGGCGCACACUGACGAGUACUGAGACUAGCGUUUCUCUAGGGUUCCGGCGAGUUAUAGGAUGGCGUCGGAGGAUGUGGUAGGUAAGAGAAGCGAAAGUGCUGUUACUACAAUCGUCAAUCUGGCUGAAGAAGCUAAAAUGGCGAGCGAAGGUGUUAAAGCUCCGAGUCAUGCUGCUAUUUUCAGUGUAUGCAAGUCUCUCGCUGCUGGUGGAAUCGCCGGUGGAGUGUCACGCACUGCAGUUGCUCCAUUGGAAAGGCUUAAAAUUCUGCUCCAGGUUCAGAAUUCUCACAGUAUAAAAUACAAUGGAACAGUUCAGGGGUUGAAAUAUAUAUGGAGAACUGAGGGUCUCCGGGGCAUGUUCAAAGGAAAUGGUACUAAUUGUGCCCGCAUUGUUCCAAACUCUGCCGUCAAGUUCUUCAGCUAUGAGGAAGCAUCCAAGGGAAUCUUAUGGUUUUACCGGCAGCAAACUGGAAAUGAGGAUGCUGAACUUACUCCUCUUCUACGCCUUGGUGCUGGAGCAUGUGCUGGCAUCAUUGCGAUGUCAGCAACUUACCCAAUGGACUUGGUACGAGGCCGAAUUACUGUCCAGACAGAUAAAUCUCCUAGUCAGUACAGAGGGAUAUUUCAUGCUCUUAGAACAGUUUUUGUUGAAGAAGGCCCGCGUGCCCUGUACAAAGGAUGGCUCCCUUCUGUAAUAGGUGUUAUUCCUUAUGUAGGUUUGAACUUUGCUGUAUAUGAAUCUUUAAAA